UCCGCCGCCUCCCCUUCGGUGCACAUCACCGCCGACUCUCCUGCCGUCGGCUUACCAUCAUUCCACACUCGUGCCACCGAGACUGAGGCCACAGCUCUCUCCUCCUCACCAUGACUUCCGGCCUGGGCGUUGCUGGAGACGCCGCUGCCCGUCGAUUUUUCGCCGAAGGCGGCGCGGUCACCCACCGCUGCGGCCGCCGCUACUCUUCCCCCACCGCCACGAUUCCGGUUUUGUCUUCCUUUCUUCAUUUCUUCCCACCAAUCGGGAUACCCGUGGAUGUGAAAACACGUCUCCUUGGUGUGUUUCUUGCCUCCACAGUGAGUGCAGGAGAGGCGACUUUUAUCUUCCUCCCCUCUCCGUUCGGCGGUCGUGUUUCUGAAUGGGAUGUGCGGUCUAGGAUUAUUUUGGUUGACGGCCGCGAGCCCAGUCCCGAUGCCAGGGGUUGUUGGUUCUGCCGUCGCUGGGUUAAGAACUCGGUUGUUCGCCGCUGCCCGUCUUACCAUCCCGUAUGCAGUACGGGCAUCUGGUAUGGGCUCUCUGUUCAGGAUCUCCUUCUUUACGGCAUCAUGUUUUUCAUCUAGGGCAUAGAGAAACUGAUAUGUUCUGUGUCUCUGGGUUCUCUUGUUGGUCUUCACGAUCGAUUCUGGAUCUGUUAUAUCGCUCGGAUCUCUGGAGUCUAUGGAAAUCCAUAGAUCUUGAAACUUCUGCCAGAGUGCUUCGAGUGUCAUGCUCCCUUGCUUCAUUCUGUCAGCUUGUCGAUGUAGAUCGAACACUUGUAGCGGGUCUCCUCCACUGCCGUAUGUGAUUGCUAGGCCUUCCCACAGAUCCUUGGCUGUCUCGUAUUGUGAGACUUCAUUCACAAGUUCUAUCUCGAUGUUAUUGAUUAUCCAAUUGAAACAACAAUGAUCUCGUUGUUGCCAUUUGGAAUAGUCGGGAUCGGUAAUGGAUGGGGGGUCCGAACCUCCAUAAAUAUGAGAUAUCAAGCCCUUUCCUCCUAUGGCUCGUUUCAUGAGUUUUGUCCAAAGGGGAUAAUUUUCUCCAUUAAGUUUGGUCGUGACGUGGACGUCGCCAAGGGAUUCAAGUUGAUUUUGGGUGGUAUUUGAGGUUUUUGGUUUUGCUGAUGAACUGAUCUGCUUCAGAAAAUCAGCGAAUUGAGUCGCCAUUUCGAAGGGGAUAUUGACAGAGGUAAAAGGGCUGAGAAGGGUAUAUGGACGGUGAUGAACUCUUUUCUGAGUCCCCACCUCUAGUAUCCUGCUCUGAUACCAUCUUGAAGAUGGUUAUCGAGAGAGGCCAGGAUUAGAUGGCUAAACAUAUUGAAGCUAAAGGAAUAGACAAGAGUGUUGUAUUAUUUUCGGAUGAUUAGAAUGAUUUACAGCCCCUCUUUAUAUAGGGAGAGAUAGUAUGUACAUAUGGAAACAAGAUAAUUCUAAUUCUAAGAAAUAUCAAUUAAAUCAA